rnacentral:rRNA from 1 species
AUCAUGGCUCAGAAUCAACGCUGGCGGCGUGCCUCAGACAUGCAAGUCGAACGAUUAAAGCUCUCUUCGGAGAGUGUAUAGAGUGGCGCACGGGUGAGUAACACGUAAGUAAUCUACCCUCGAUGGGGAAUAACAACCGGAAACGGUUGCUAAUACCGCAUAAUGCAGCGGCACCGCAAGGUGACAGUUGUUAAAGAUUUAUCGCUUGAGGAGGAGCUUGCGGCAGAUUAGCUAGUUGUAGGGUAACGGCUUACCAAGGCUACGAUCUGUAACCGGUCUAAGAGGACGGUCGGUCACACUGACACUGAAUAACGGGUCAGACUCCUACGGGAGGCAGCAGUCGGGAAUUUUGGGCAAUGGGCGAAAGCCUGACCCAGCAACGCCGCGUGAAGGAUGAAGUAUUUCGGUAUGUAAACUUCGAAAGAAUAGGAAGAAUUAAUGACAGUACUAUUUAUAAGGUCCGGCUAACUACGUG